rnacentral:lncRNA from 9 species
CGAUCCGAACAGAAACACGCCUGGGGGGCGACUGAGUUCAGAGUGACCGCGUCUCAUAGAAGAGAAAACAUGUAGUUACCGAUCCAGACGAGUGUUUGUGCCUCCGAAAGCACCCACAGCAUCCCUGUCAAGAAAGGCUCUGCUUAGUGCACAGGCGCUCCGCUGCCCCAGGAGCCGUGGGAAGGCGCAGCUCUGCAGCAUGUAAAGGACGUUGAGGCAUCUGGGCGCCUCCCUCGCCCCC